ACAGCAUGUACAUAAAACGUUGAUGGACGUUUUUGAAUGUUUUUUUAGAGUCCUUUUAGAGGCUAUAUGAAAUGCAUCCAAAAAAUAUUUACGGGGCUAAAAUGUUUCCACAUUUUGUUAUGUUACAGUCUUAUUCCAAAUUUAAAUACAUUCAUUUUUUUCCUCAAAAUUCUACACACAUACUGAUGCUAUGAUUUUUUAUUUUUUUUGGAAAUGUUGAAAACUAAGAAAUCACACAAACCGUAUUUUUCAGACAAUAAGCCGCAGUUUUUUUCACAGUUUGGCCGGGGGUGCGACAUAUACUCCGCAGCGACUUAUGUGUCAAAUUAUUAACACAUUACCGUAAAGUAGCAUAUUUCGUAAAAUCUGCUGUUCACAAGGCGAGUUUUUUCAGGGAUGGAUAGGGAAGUCCUUUAACUACUGUUUUGUUUUAUCAUAUAUUGCUGCCUUUGCACCUGUCAAUGUUUACUUUUGGGUGCACAUUAAAUCAACAAAAAAAUCCUGACUUUGGAGCAAUGUUCACAGACUCUAAUAUUUGGCUCUCCAAUAGAUGCAAUGGUUUUUCUGUAUCCUGCGAUGAGGUGGCGACUUGUCCAGGGUGUACACCGCCUUCCGCUCGAUUGUAGCUGAGAUAGGCGCCAGCGCCCCCCGCAACCCCAAAAGGGAAUAAGCGGUAGAAAAUGGAUGAAUGGAUGGAUUAUUUAUGUAAUUCGCGGAAGAGACGUAGAAAAUGUCAGCAAUCGUCACAUACACGGCAACCAAUAAGAAUUCGGCAGAAGUGCGUUGUGGGUCAUGGAAUGCUAACUGCUAUAUGCCAAAUGCUACUGCCGUAGCUAUUAAAAUGAUUCCUUUCAUCUAAGCGGUAACUUGUAAAAACUGAGAAGGGCUGAACAAAAAUGGCACCGAAAAGGAAAUCAUGUACUGCAGAUUACAAGCUGGACAUAGUGAAAUAUGCAGCAGAAAACGACAAGAGGAAGCGGCGCAUACCUAUGGAGUUGGCAGAGUUGUUUAGAAGUGACAUCGAGGAAAAAGAUUUCAUCAGAUUUAUCGAUUAGGAGUGACAGAUUGUUUGGUAAACGUAUAACAUGUUCUAUAUGUUAUAGUUAUUUGAAUGACUCUUACCAUAAUAUGUUACCUUAACAUACCAGGCAUGUUCUCAGUUGGUUAUUUAUGCGUCAUAUAACGUACACUUCUGCGAUGAGAUAGCGACAUGUCCAGGGUGUACCAUGCCUUCUGCCCGAUUGUAGCUGAGAUAGGCACCAGCGCCCCCUGCGACGCCAAAGGGAAUAAGCGACAUUUCCAACAGUUAUAAUGUAAAACCAGAAAAAUGUGAUGUAAGCUGUUGUGUCACACACACACUCCGUGCUUCCCUCUGCUGCGGGAGCUCGCAGAAGCUCCGCUGGGAACACCAGACACGCCCCCGCACUCUUUAGGCAGACCGCGCCCACUCUCCGCCGCAGCCGGCGGCAAUCGACACCUGACACACCUGGCAUUGAUGAAGGAUGGCAGUAUAAGUACGGUUGACGCUGACUCAUCGACGCCGGAACGUAAAAUCUACUACCCCGCUCGUGUCACCACUGCUGUUUCCCUCCUGGACCCGUUUUGCCUUCCCGGAUCCUUGACCUAGCUUUGGACUUUCGGACCCUCUCUCCUGCCUUUGACCCCCGCUUGGACCUUGAACUUCCCCUGGCUUGAUCCCACUCGGAUUUGGACGCUGAAACAUCCAACACGCACCUCAACAAACCUCACGAUAUUCACAUAUGGUAAUUCCUCACAUAGUCAUUCCUUCAGACACAUAGUAGCAUACACACUCCACGUAUUCAUCAAGUAUUCAAUAAAUCUAUUGAACUUGACAUCCCGUUGCUGUGCCGUCUCCUUCCCCAGUAGAAACAUAAAAAAAAGCAUUGUAAUUGUAUACAUUUCCAAACACGUAACUAUAUUGUUGUUUUUCUUCUCAAUCCUAUUUUUGUUGUUCUUGUUGUUUUCUCCUCUUUUUUUUUUAGUUAUCAAACAUGUCUGAAAUAAAUAGCUACAAUAUAUACUGUAAA